rnacentral:rRNA from 1 species
CAGUAGCCACGGUAAUACGUAGGGUGCAAGCGUUAAUCGGAAUUACUGGGCGUAAAGCGUGCGCAGGCGGUUUGUUAAGACAGAUGUGAAAUCCCCGGGCUCAACCUGGGAACUGCAUUUGUGACUGGCAAGCUAGGGUCUGGCAGAGGGGGGUGGAAUUCCGCGUGUAGCAGUGAAAUGCGUAGAUAUGCGGAGGAACACCGAUGGCGAAGGCAGCCCCCUGGGCCAACACUGACGCUCAUGCACGAAAGCGUGGGGAGCAAACAGGAUUAGAUACCCCCGUAGUCCCUGUCUCUUAUAC